GAUGAACGCUGGCGGCGUGCCUAAUACAUGCAAGUCGAGCGAACAGACGAGGAGCUUGCUCCUCUGACGUUAGCGGCGGACGGGUGAGUAACACGUGGAUAACCUACCUAUAAGACUGGGAUAACUUCGGGAAACCGGAGCUAAUACCGGAUAAUAUAUUGAACCGCAUGGUUCAAUAGUGAAAGACGGUUUUGCUGUCACUUAUAGAUGGAUCCGCGCCGCAUUAGCUAGUUGGUAAGGUAACGGCUUACCAAGGCGACGAUGCGUAGCCGACCUGAGAGGGUGAUCGGCCACACUGGAACUGAGACACGGUCCAGACUCCUACGGGAGGCAGCAGUAGGGAAUCUUCCGCAAUGGGCGAAAGCUUGACGGAGCAACGCCGCGUGAGUGAUGAAGGUCUUCGGAUCGUAAAACUCUGUUAUUAGGGAAGAACAAAUGUGUAAGUAACUAUGCACGUCUUGACGGUGCCUAAUCAGAAAGCCACGGCUAACUACGUG
rnacentral:rRNA from 1 species